CGAAGGUGCUUGCACCUUUCAAGCGAGUGGCGAACGGGUGAGUAACACGUGGAUAACCUGCCUCAAGGCUGGGGAUAACAUUUGGAAACAGAUGCUAAUACCGAAUAAAACUUAGUAUCGCAUGAUACAAAGUUGAAAGGCGCUACGGCGUCACCUAGAGAUGGGUCCGCGGUGCAUUAGUUAGUUGGUGGGGUAAAGGCCUACCAAGACAAUGAUGCAUAGCCGAGUUGAGAGACUGAUCGGCCACAUUGGGACUGAGACACGGCCCAAACUCCUACGGGAGGCUGCAGUAGGGAAUCUUCCACAAUGGGCGAAAGCCUGAUGGAGCAACGCCGCGUGUGUGAUGAAGGCUUUAGGGUCGUAAAGCACUGUUGUAUGGGAAGAAAUGCUAGAAUAGGGAAUGAUUCUAGUUCGACGGUACCAUACCAGAAAGGGACGGCUAAAUACGUGCCAGCAGCCGCGGUAAUACGUAUGUCCCGAGCGUUAUCCGGAUUUAUUGGGCGUAAAGCGAGCGCAGACGGUUGAUUAAGUCUGAUGUGAAAGCCCGGAGCUCAACUCCGGAAUGGCAUUGGAAACUGGUUAACUUGAGUGUUGUAGAGGUAAGUGGAACUCCAUGGUUA
rnacentral:rRNA from 1 species